GAAAUGCGAUAAGUAAUGUGAAUUGCAGAAUUCCGUGAAUCAUCGAAUCUUUGAACGCACAUUGCGCCCUCUGGUAUUCCGGGGGGCAUGCCUGUCCGAGCGUCAUUGCGAACCCCUCAAGCACGGCUUGUGUGAUGGGCCCUCCCGCGUCUUGGUCGUCAAGACGGGCCCGAAAAGCAGUGGCGGCUUCGCGGUUAUCCGAUCAGCCAGAGCGUAUGGGGACUUUCUCUCUGUCACACGCCCGCGGCGCGGACCGACGCCUGUCGACCAUUAUUCAUCUUUUUCUCGGUUGACCUCGGAUCAGGUAGGGAUACCCGCUGAACUUAAGC
rnacentral:misc_RNA from 1 species